GAAGGAUGAGGGGGUCUUGAAGAGUGAGGAUUUUGUCUAGAAUUCUUAGUCACUUGACUGGUUGUAAUAUAUGAUUUUUCUCUUCAUAGUUACUCUCAGGUAGUUCACUAUAUUCAGAAAGCUCAGUAUCUGGGCUCUCAUGGAUUCAGUACCUCAUCAUUCCUCAUUAUGGAUUUACAGCUUUGCAACACAAUGAAUUCCUGGGACAAAACUUCUGUCCAGAACAUAACGCAGAAGAAAUCAGUAGAUGUCAGAACUAUGUGAUAUGUACUGGUGAAGAAUUCUUGACGAUCCAGGGCAUCGAUCUCUCAUCAUGGGGCUUCUGGAAGAAUCACGUGGCCUUAGCUUGUAUAAUGAUUAUCUUCUUAUUAAUUACCUAUGUGCGGUUAUUAGUUCUUAAGAAAAAGAGACAUUUUUGAAUCACUCCUCCACUUUCUUUGAAUUCAUCUGACACUGAAAAGAAAUUAAAACUUUCCCUGUG